rnacentral:rRNA from 1 species
UGGGGAAUUUUGGACAAUGGGGGAAACCCUGAUCCAGCCAUGCCGCGUGCAGGAUGAAGGCCUUCGGGUUGUAAACUGCUUUUGUACAGAACGAAAAGGUCUCGGAUAAUACCUGAGGCCCAUGACGGUACUGUAAGAAUAAGCACCGGCUAACUACGUGCCAGCAGCCGCGGUAAUACGUAGGGUGCAAGCGUUAAUCGGAAUUACUGGGCGUAAAGCGUGCGCAGGCGGUUAUGUAAGACAGAUGUGAAAUCCCCGGGCUCAACCUGGGAACUGCAUUUGUGACUGCAUAGCUUGAGUGCGGCAGAGGGGGAUGGAAUUCCGCGUGUAGCAGUGAAAUGCGUAGAUAUGCGGAGGAACACCGAUGGCGGAGGCAAUCCCCUGGGCCUGCACUGACGCUCAUGCACGAAAGCGUGGGGAGCAAACA